GGGCAUGGCGGCAGCCUACACAUGCAGUCGAACGGUAGCACAGAGAGCUUGCUCUCGGGUGACGAGUGGCGGACGGGUGAGUAAUGUCUGGGAAACUGCCUGAUGGAGGGGGAUAACUACUGGAAACGGUAGCUAAUACCGCACAAUGUCGCAAGACCAAAGAGGGGGACCUUCGGGCCUCUUGCCAUCAGAUGUGCCCAGAUGGGAUUAGCUAGUAGGUGGGGUAACGGCUCACCUAGGCAACGAUCCCUAGCUGGUCUGAAAGGAUGACCAGCCACACUGGAACUGAGACACGGUCCACACUCCUACGGGAGGCAGCAGUGGGGAAUAUUGCACAAUGGGCGCAAGCCUGAUGCAGCCAUGCCGCGUGUAUGAAGAAGGCCUUCGGGUUGUAAAGUA
rnacentral:rRNA from 1 species